rnacentral:rRNA from 1 species
GACGAACGCUGGCGGCGUGCCUAACACAUGCAAGUCGAGCGAUGAAACUUUCUUCGGGAAGUGAAUUAGCGGCGGACGGGUGAGUAUCACGUGGGCAACCUGCCUUGAAGUGGGGGAUAGCCCUCCGAAAGGAGGAUUAAUACCGCAUAACAUCAGUACAUCGCAUGAUGAAUUGAUUAAAGGAGUAAUCCGCUUCAAGAUGGGCCCGCGGCGCAUUAGCUAGUUGGUGAGGUAACGGCUCACCAAGGCGACGAUGCGUAGCCGACCUGAGAGGGUGAUCGGCCACAUUGGGACUGAGAUACGGUCCAGACUCCUACGGGAGGCAGCAGUGGGGAAUAUUGCGCAAUGGGGGAAACCCUGACGCAGCAACGCCGCGUGAGCGAUGAAGGUCUUCGGAUCGUAAAGCUCUGUCUUUUGGGACGAUAAUGACGGUACCAAAAGAGGAAGCCACGGCUAACUACGUGCCAGCAGCCGCGGUAAUACGUAGGUGGCGAGCGUUGUCCGGAAUUACUGGGCGUAAAGGGUGCGUAGGCGGAUAUUUAAGUCAGAUGUGAAAUACCCAGGCUUAACUUGGGAGUUGCAUUUGAAACUGGAUAUCUAGAGUGCAGGAGAGGAAAGCGGAAUUCCUAGUGUAGCGGUGAAAUGCGUAGAGAUUAGGAAGAACACCAGUGGCGAAGGCGGCUUUCUGGACUGUAACUGACGCUGAGGCACGAAAGCGUGGGUAGCAAACAGGAUUAGAUACCCUGGUAGUCCACGCUGUAAACGAUGAAUACUAGGUGUAGGAGGUGUCAUGCCUUCUGUGCCGCAGUUAACACAAUAAGUAUUCCGCCUGGGGAGUACGGUCGCAAGAUUAA